UUAUGCGAAAUAUACUGGUGAAUUGCAGAAUCCCGUGAACCAUCGAGUCUUUGAACGCAAGUUGCGCCCGAAGCCAUUAGGCCGAGGGCACGCCUGCCUGGGUGUUGCACAUCGUUGCCCCCGUGCCUUGGCCACGUGCUAGGCACCAAGCGGGGCGAAUGUUGGCUUCCCGUGAGCAAUGUCUCACGGUUGGUUGAAAACUGAGUCCGCGGUGGAGGGCGCCGUGAUGGAUGGUGGCUGAGUUAAUGCUCGAGACCGAUCGUGCGUGUUACCCCCACCAGCUUUGCGACUCUUUGACCCAUGGGGGUCUGUUGGCCUCCUAAUACGGGAACCUCAGGUCAGGCGGGGCUACCCGCUGAGUUUAAGCAUAUCAAUAAGCGGAGGAAAAGAAACUAACAAGGAUUCCCUUAGUAACGGCGAGCGAACCGGGAAAAGCCCACCAUGAGAAUCGGACGCCCUCGGUGUCCGAAUUGUAGUCUGAGGAAGCGUCAAA
rnacentral:rRNA from 1 species